CUUCAGGGAGCCGAGCCACAGCGGCUGCUCCGCCGGGCGCUCCUUGCCGUAGGUGGCGAGGACGGCCUGCGCCUC
rnacentral:antisense_RNA from 1 species